rnacentral:rRNA from 2 species
AAUCCAUAGGUUAAUGAGGCGAACCGGGGGAACUGAAACAUCUAAGUACCCCGAGGAAAAGAAAUCAACCGAGAUUCCCCCAGUAGCGGCGAGCGAACGGGGAGGAGCCCAGAGCCUGAAUCAGCAUGUGUGUUAGUGGAAGCGUCUGGAAAGGCGCGCGAUACAGGGUGACAGCCCCGUACACAAAAGCGCAUGUGCUGUGAGCUCGAUGAGUAGGGCGGGACACGUGGUAUCCUGUCUGAAUAUGGGGGGACCAUCCUCCAAGGCUAAAUACUCCUGACUGACCGAUAGUGAACCAGUACCGUGAGGGAAAGGCGAAAAGAACCCCGGCGAGGGGAGUGAAAAAGAACCUGAAACCGUGUACGUACAAGCAGUGGGAGCACCCUUUGGGUGUGACUGCGUACCUUUUGUAUAAUGGGUCAGCGACUUAUAUUCUGUAGCAAGGUUAACCGAAUAGGGGAGCCGGAGGGAAACCGAGUCUUAACCGGGCGUUAAGUUGCAGGGUAUAGACCCGAAACCCGGUGAUCUAGCCAUGGGCAGGUUGAAGGUUGGGUAACACUAACUGGAGGACCGAACCGACUAAUGUUGAAAAAUUAGCGGAUGACCUGUGGCUGGGGGUGAAAGGCCAAUCAAACCGGGAGAUAGCUGGUUCUCCCCGAAAGCUAUUUAGGUAGCGCCUCGUGAAUUCAUCUCCGGGGGUAGAGCACUGUUUCGGCUAGGGGGCCAUCCCGGCUUACCAACCCGAUGCAAACUGCGAAUACCGGAGAAUGUUAUCACGGGAGACACACGGCGGGUGCUAACGUCCGUCGUGAAGAGGGAAACAACCCAGACCGCCAGCUAAGGUCCCAAAGUCAUGGUUAAGUGGGAAACGAUGUGGGAAGGCCCAGACAGCCAGGAUGUUGGCUUAGAAGCAGCCAUCAUUUAAAGAAAGCGUAAUAGCUCACUGGUCGAGUCGGCCUGCGCGGAAGAUGUAACGGGGCUAAACCAUGCACCGAAGCUGCGGCAGCGACACU